CCUACGGUGGGCUGCAGUCGAGAAUCAUUCACAAUGGAGGAAACUCUGAUGGUGCGACGCCGCGUGGGGGAAUGAAGGUCUUCGGAUUGUAAACCCCUGUCAUGUGGGAGCAAAUUAAAAAGAUAGUACCACAAGAGGAAGAGACGGCUAACUCUGUGCCAGCAGCCGCGGUAAUACAGAGGUCUCAAGCGUUGUUCGGAAUCACUGGGCGUAAAGCGUGCGUAGGCUGUUUCGUAAGUGGUGUGUGAAAGGCGCGGGCUCAACCCGCGGACUGCACAUGAUACUGCGAGACUAGAGUAAUGGAGGGGUAAGCGGAAUUCUCGGUGUAGCAGUGAAAUGCGUAGAGAUCGAGAGGAACACUCGUGGCGAAGGCGGGUUCCUGGACAUCAACUGACGCUGAGGCACGAAGGCCAGGGGAGCGAAAGGGAUUAGAUACCCGUGUAGUC
rnacentral:rRNA from 1 species